UUUAGAUAUGAGUCACAUUUUGUUCAUGGUAGAGAUUCUCUUGUUGACAUUUUAAAAGAGCGUGGAUUACUAUCUGAGUCCGAUGCUGUUCAACCACUAAUAGGUAAGAAAUCAUGAGUCAAGUUACUGAACAAUCCGUACGUUUCCAGACCGCUUUGGCCUCUAUUAAGCUCAUUCAGGCUUCUGCCGUUUUGGAUUUAACCG
rnacentral:rRNA from 1 species